rnacentral:tRNA from 1 species
GCCGGGGUGGUGUAAUGGCAGCCACGGGAGACUUAAAAUUUCCUGAUCGCAAGAUCGUGUGGGUUCGAGUCCCACCCCCGGCA